CUGAAGUGGAUCAUGAAAGAUUAUUCGAGCUGCUCAAAGGAGUUAAUGCUCCCUGGUUGAAGUCUAGAAUACCAGGCUCGAGCAGUCUUCUGAAUAAUUAUCGGAAAGCCAAUGUAUAAGAGGACGUCGGUUGCCUCUUGGAUUAUCGUGAGAGCCUUAUAGCUCUUCAAAUGAUCGAUCGGGUCGGUGGAGCCAUCGUAUGGCUCCAUCUGUGGCUUCUUGAAUCGAGACAGAAUCGGUUUAUCUAAGAUGCGCUGAGAGAGAGGCUAGAUAGUGUGGAAGUCAUAGUCGUUGGAGGAUUUUCAACCUUCCACCUAAAGUCGGGC
rnacentral:lncRNA from 1 species